rnacentral:rRNA from 1 species
UACGGGGGGGGCAAGCGUUGUUCGGAAUUACUGGGCGUAAAGGGCGCGUAGGCGGCCUGCUAAGUCGGAUGUGAAAUCCCCGGGCUCAACCCGGGAACUGCGUCCGAUACUGGCAGGCUUGAAUCCGGGAGAGGGAUGCGGAAUUCCAGGUGUAGCGGUGAAAUGCGUAGAUAUCUGGAGGAACACCGGUGGCGAAGGCGGCAUCCUGGACCGGCAUUGACGCUGAGGCGCGAAAGCCAGGGGAGCAAACGGG